rnacentral:rRNA from 1 species
ACCGGCGGCUCGAGUGGUGGCCACUAUUACUGGGCUUAAAGCGUUCGUAGCUUGCUUUUUAAGUCUCUUGGGAAAUCUUCCGGCUCAACCGGCAGGCGUCUCAGGGAUACUGGCAGGCUAGGGACCGGAAGAGGUGAGAGGUACUCCAGGGGUAGGAGUGAAAGCCUGUAAUCCGGGGGGGACCACCUGUGGCGAAGGCGUCUCACCAGGACGGCUCCGACAGGGAGGAACGAAAGCUGGGGGAGCAAACCG